rnacentral:rRNA from 1 species
GGAGAACGUGCCCUUAGGCGGAGGAUAAUCUCGGGAAAUUGAGGAUAAUACUCCAUAGGUCACGGAGUCUGGAACGACCCGUGGCCGAAAGCCCCGGCGCCUAAGGAUCGCUCUGCGGCUUAUCAGGUCGUAGUGGGUGUAACGUACCCCCUAGCCGACGACGAGUAUGGGCCUUGAGAGAGGGAGCCCAGAGUUGGAUUCUGAGACACGAAUCCAGGCCCUACGGGGCGCAGCAGUCGCGAAAACUUCACACUGGGGGCAACCCCGAUGAGGGAAUUCCUAGUGCCAGGGCCUCUGGUCCUGGCUUUUCUCCGGCGUAGACGACCGGAGGAAUAAGGGCUGGGUAAGACGGGUGCCAGCCGCCGCGGUAAUACCUGCAGCCCGAGUGGUGGUCGAUUUUAUUGAGUCUAAAACGUUCGUAGCCGGCCCGGUAAAUCCCUGGGUAAAUCGGGAAGCUCAACUUCCCGAAUUCCGGGGAGACUGCCGGGCUUGGGACCGGGAGAGGCUAGAGGUACUUCUAGGGUAGGGGUAAAAUCCUGUAAUCCUGGAAGGACCACCGGUGGCGAAGGCGUCUAGCUAGAAC